GAGUUUGAUCCUGGCUCAGGAUGAACGCUGGCGGCGUGCUUAACACAUGCAAGUCGAACGAGAGAAUUUAGAGGAAAACUUCGGUUAGAAUCUAGAGGAUCUAGUGGCGGACGGGUGAGUAACGCGUGGGAAACCUGCCUUAUACAGGGGAAUAGCCUCGGGAAACCGGGAUUAAUACCCCAUAAAGCCGUUUGUUCGCAUGAACAAAUGGCCAAAGAUUUAUCGGUAUAAGAUGGUCCCGCGUCCCAUUAGCUAGUUGGUGAGGUAACGGCCCACCAAGGCGACGAUGGGUAGCCGGCCUGAGAGGGUGAACGGCCACACUGGAACUGAGACACGGUCCAGACUCCUACGGGAGGCAGCAGUGGGGAAUAUUGCACAAUGGGGGAAACCCUGAUGCAGCGACGCCGCGUGAGCGAAGAAGGCUUUCGGGUCGUAAAGCUCUGUCCUAAGGGAAGAUAAUGACGGUACCUUAGGAGGAAGCCCCGGCUAACUACGUGCCAGCAGCCGCGGUAA
rnacentral:rRNA from 1 species